AGCAGGCGAUCAAAUCGGAUCGAAUUGAAAUCAGUUGCUCUAUUCAAUUCGAACUGAGUUGGGAGCAUUUUUUGGCCGGUAUUGGGGGAGAUGUCGUCUGGCCACCGCAGAUUGCUUGUCUUACAUCAAAUCUGCUCCAAUCAACUCCCCCCUUUCGUUACCCAUCCAAACGAUGUAGAAUUCCUGAGAGCAAUCGGAACAUUGCCUUUCCCAGAUCAAAUGGAAGUGAAAAUUCCGAGUGCAUGUACCACGCCCCCGCCAUUACGCCGCCCCCGCAUUUUCCGCAGAUGUGGCAGCCCUCGGCUAACUGUACACACAUUUGUCGCAUCGCUGCGGCGGCAACAACGAGUUAGAGCAUAACAACAUAUUUUACAAUUACGAAACAAUUCGGCCCACAACUAAAUACAGAAACCUCAGGCACCCGCAGCUCUUCAGCUCUUCAGCCAGGCAGACUGAACAAUGGACGAAAUAGAAAAACUGUGAAAAAUAGAAAAAUCUGAAAACCGAAAUCCGAAAUCGCAAACCUGAAGCAAAGCUCAACAAGAUCAGCAGACGAAUAGGCGUAGACGCCAGACCAAGAACCAUGUCUCCAAAAUGCGGCCUACUGGGGCGGCAUGCCGACAGCACUCACACAUUCGCAAACUCGAUUGUGGCCAGAACGAAACCAGAUCAAAAGCCCAUGGCAAUAAUUAUGAAAACACUCCGAGUCGCGACGUCGUCAUCGUCAUCGAUGUAAUUUUCCUGUUCGUGCCUUAAUAAUCUGCGCAAACGGCGGCCGCAUAUUGAAAUUCCCCACAGUAAUAAUAACAAUAAUCGCGCGGCAGCAACAUCUAUUAAAAUAUCGAUGGAGUGACUGACUGACUGACUGACUGACUGACUGACUCUGUGACUCCCUGACUGACUUUGCCGGCUGUGGCUCUUUUUCCAUUUUCUUGGUUUUAAGCUGGCUGGUGAAGCGAUCAAAAGUCGCUAAAAGCAAACGCACACUGACGGCGUUAUUAUUGAUUUAAACAUCAAGAUAAAUUACACCGGCUUCCCCAAACCGAACCACCCGCGCUUGAAAAUAUCCCUCAAGUGGAAAUCUUUAGGAACCCUAGCUGAAGAUCAGGCUGUAACUGAAGAUCACUCACUGGAAAAAACAAGAAACUAAAAAGUACAUCUCAUAAAAAAACAUAAACUCUAAAACAAAUACUUAAUAACUUCUGUUAUUUAUUAGUUUGCUGAAACUUAAUUUAAAAAUAAAAAUUACAAAAAAAGUUAA